rnacentral:rRNA from 1 species
CAUGCAGUCGAGCGGAACGAGUUAUCUGAACCUUCGGGGAACGAUAACGGCGUCGAGCGCGGACGGGUGAGUAAUGCCUAGGAAAUUGCCCUGAUGUGGGGGAUAACCAUUGGAAACGAUGGCUAAUACCGCAUGAUGCCUACGGGCCAAAGAGGGGGACCUUCGGGCCUCUCGCGUCAGGAUAUGCCUWGGUGGGAUUAGCUAGUUGGUGAGGUAAGGGCUCACCAAGGCGACGAUCCCUAGCUGGUCUGAGAGGAUGAUCAGCCACACUGGAACUGAGACACGGUCCAGACUCCUACGGGAGGCAGCAGUGGGGAAUAUUGCACAAUGGGCGCAAGYCUGAUGCAGCC